UACGAGGGGGGCAAAUGUUGUUCGGAAUCACUGGGCGUAAAGGGCGCGUAGGCGGGCUCUUAAGUUAGGUGUUUAAUCCCGGGGCCCAACCCCGGACAGGCACCUAAAACUGGGAGUCUUGAAUAGUGGAGAGGUCGGCGGAAUUGGGGGUGUAGCGGUGGAAUGCGUAGAUAUCUGGAGGAACACCGGUGGCGAAGGCGGCAUCCUGGACCGGUAUUGACGCUGAGGAGCGAAAGCCAGGGGAGCAAACGGG
rnacentral:rRNA from 1 species